rnacentral:rRNA from 1 species
SUCUCUUUGUUAUAAGUAUUAGAUAAGGAGUUGGGCCUGCUCGGUGAAAUUUUAAACAGCUGCGGUAUUUUAACUGUACUAAGGUAGCAUAAUAAUUUGCCUUAUAAUUUGAGGCUAGAAUGAAUGGUUUGACGAAGGUUAAUCUGUCUCUAUUUUAUUUUUUAGAAAUUAAUUUUCAUAGUGAAAAAGCCUUGAAUUUUUUAANGGGACGAGAAGACCCUACUGAGCUUAUAAUUUUAUUAUUAUUGUUAUUUUUAUUGGAGCAGUAAUAUAUAAAUUUUAAUUGGGGUGAUUAAGGAAUAAAUAAAUAUAUUUAGUAACUUCCUUAUAAAGAAUAUUGUUAGAUGAAGUAACCAAUAAAGUUACAUGAUUAUUGUAAUAAAUAUUGCUUAUAAUAUAGUUACCAUAGGGAUAACAGSGUAAUUUAUUUAGAGAGUUCUUAUUGAAAAAUGAGAUUGCGACCUCGAUGUUGGAUUAAAGUAACCUUAAGGUGUAGAAGCUUUAUAAGGUAAAUCUGUUCGAUUUUUAAAACUUUA